rnacentral:rRNA from 1 species
UACGGAGGGAGCUAGCGUUGUUCGGAAUUACUGGGCGUAAAGGGCGCGUAGGCGGCUAGGCAAGUCAGGUGUGAAAGCCCCGAGCUUAACUCGGGAAUUGCAUCUGAAACUGCUGUGCUUGAGUUCUGGAGGGGGUAGUGGAAUUCCCAGUGUAGCGGUGAAAUGCGUAGAUAUUGGGAGGAACACCUGCGGCGAAGGCGGCUACCUGGACAGAAACUGACGCUGAGGCGCGAAAGCUAGGGGAGCGAACGGG